AAAAAAAAGGAAAGACACAAGCACAUACUUUCCCUAAUUUUUCAAGUUAGUUAUGACAAUAUGUGGUAGCACAUGCCUGAAAUCCCAACAUUCUGGAGGCUGAGGCUGAAGGAUUGAGUUCCAGGAUAGCCUGGUCUAUAUAGCAAGUGCCAGGGUAGUCAGAGCUACACAGCAAGAUCCUGUAUUCAAACAAAUAAACUUAGAGAUUAAGUAGCUUCCCAAGAGCCCCAAAUUAGAUAAGAUAGCUUCCGCUGGGAGAGGAGGUGCGUUCUUAUCCUAACACUGUCGUCAAGUGCAGCUUUCUGCUUUGAUAAACUCACAACUGCUUCACUGUAAUACAUUCUAACAUUUUCUUACAUCACAGAUUUCAAGGCCUCGGGUGAACCAAAGCAGAGGCCCCUGAGGCUCCAAGGGGGCAUCAGCAGGCGCACUGCCCGCUACAAUGUGUUGUAUUUCCUGUUACUAGUCACAGACUCAGCCCUCAGGGGGUCACAAUCUAGUGAAGGACACAAAGAGAUCAGUCCUGCCCACGGACCGCAUUGGUUACAGUCUGGUGGGAUAGUCACUGUCAGCAAGCCGGAUCCCAGCACUUGGGGCUCAGUUUGGUGGAAAGAUACAGGACCACAGAUAGCCUGAGUCCACUGCGGGAGACAGUGGCUGGGAUCAUUCAGCUGGAAGCUACUGCUAUCCUGGGGUCCAGGAAAUGCAGCUGGCGGCGGAGGGUAUGGGGGGGGGAGAUGCAGAGACCACCAAUCAGAGCUACAGCCCCCAGCAUCACAUUCCAGAAGUCAAAGACUCCAGGCAAUUAGUGUGCCGUGCCGCCAACAACCCAAAAUGAACAGCAAAGGCAGGGUCUCUCCGGCAGCGCUAACCGGGAGAAAGGGGAACCUAGCCCAAACACCACCAAUCACAAACAGAACCUUUCACUGCAGAUGCCCAACGAGAAGGCGAGUCUUCCAUCGUCUGGACAACCGCUUUAGGGCCCAGGUUCCGCGGGUUUUCUAGGCAACCAAUCAGCUCCCAGGCCCAGCCUCAGUCCGAAUGCAAAGAAACUAUGACAGGUAGAUCCGCACAAACCAAGUGCCCACCUGAGUUCAGAACUCCCCAGUUCUAACAGCAGCGGCCAUCCUCACCAGUCCCUACUUCAAAUCGAAACUAUUCAGAACCCAGAACCCUUGCUCCUGCUGACCAAUUGGUGUGGAGAUUCUCAACCGUGCCAGGUCUUCUUCUUCUUCUUCUUUUUUUUUUCUUUGAGACAGGGUUUCUCUUUAUUAUUUUGGAGCCUGCCCUGAAACUUGCUCUAUAGACCAGACUGGCCUCGAACUCAGAGACCCACCUCACCUAUCUCUGCCUCUCAAGUAGUGGGAUAAGUGCCAGUUUUUUUUUUUUUUUUUUUUUUUUUUUUUUUUUUUUUUCCCCGAGACGGGGUUUCUCUGUGUAGCUUUGGAACAUAUCCUGGCACUCAGUCUGGAGACCAGGCUGGCCUCGAACUCACAGAGAUCCGCCUGUCUCUGCCUCCUGAGUGCAGUUCUUUUGUUGUUGUUUUGUUUUGUUUUUGGACACAGGGUUUCUCUGUGUAGCUUUGGAGCCUAUCCUGGCACUCGCUCUAGAGACCAGGCUGG
rnacentral:lncRNA from 1 species